GGGCCGAUAGCUCAGUCGGUAGAGCGGCGGAUUCUUAACCCGCAAGUCCCGAGUUCAAUCCUCGGUCGGCUCG
rnacentral:tRNA from 1 species